AAUACGGAGGGUGCGAGCGUUAAUCGGAAUUACUGGGCGUAAAGGGCGCGUAGGCGGUGAAGUAAGUCGGGUGUGAAAGCCCUGGGCUCAACCUGGGAACUGCCUCCGAUACUGCUUCGCUAGAGUAUGGUAGAGGGAAGCGGAAUUCCGGGUGUAGCGGUGAAAUGCGUAGAUAUCCGGAGGAACACCAGUGGCGAAGGAGGCUUCCUGGACCAAUACUGACGCUGAGGCGCGAAAGCGUGGGGAUCAAACAGGA
rnacentral:rRNA from 1 species